rnacentral:rRNA from 1 species
UACGGAGGAUCCAAGCGUUAUCCAGAUUUAUUGGGUUUAAAGGGUGCGUAGGUGGUUCAUUAAGUCAGGGGUGAAAGACGGCAGCUUAACUGUCGCAGUGCCUUUGAUACUGAUGAACUUGAAUGAACUAGAGGUAGGCGGAAUGUGACAAGUAGCGGUGAAAUGCAUAGAUAUGUCACAGAACACCAAUUGCGAAGGCAGCUUACUAUGGUUUGAUUGACACUGAGGCACGAAAGCGUGGGGAUCAAACAGG